GCCGAGCUAGCCAAGGUGGUCAAGGCACAUGUCUGAAGAACAUGGGAUCUCAGUUCGACUCUGAGGCUCGGCA
rnacentral:tRNA from 2 species